rnacentral:rRNA from 1 species
GACGAACGCUGGCGGCGUGCUUAACACAUGCAAGUCGAACGGGGAUGCUCCAGCUUGCUGGAGUGGAUCAGUGGCGAACGGGUGAGUAACACGUGAGCAACCUGCACCAGACUCUGGAAUAAGCGCUGGCAACGGCGUCUAAUACGGGCUACGAAACUGGCCCGCAUGGGCAGGGUUUGGAGAGUUAGUCGGUUUGGGAUGGGCUCGCGGACUAUCGGCUUGAUGGUGAGUUAAUGGAUCACCAAGGCGAGGCCGGCUAGCCGGCAUGAAAGGGCGACCGGCCACACUGGCUCGGAGUCACGGCCCAGCCUCCUUCGGGCGGGAGGCGUGGGUAGUAUUGCACAAUGGGCGAACGCCAGACGGAGCGACGCCGCGUGCGGGAUGGAGGCAUUCGGUUUGUAAGCCUCUUUCAGCAGGCAAGAAGCGAAAUGGCCGUUCCCGGCAGAAGAAGCCCCGCCUACCUCGGU